rnacentral:rRNA from 1 species
UAGUCCACGCUGUAAACGAUGAGUACUAGCUGUUGGAUCUGGUGUAAAAGAUUUAGUGGCGCAGCUAACGCGUUAAGUACUCCGCCUGGGGACUACAGCCGCAAGGCUAAAACUCAAAGGAAUUGACGGGGACCCGCACAAGCGGUGGAGCAUGUGGUUUAAUUCGAUGCAACGCGAAGAACCUUACCUGCCCUUGACAUCCAUAGAAGACAAAAGAGAUUUUGUUGUGCCUUCGGGAACUAUGAGACAGGUGCUGCAUGGCUGUCGUCAGCUCGUGUUGUGAAAUGUUGGGUUAAGUCCCGCAACGAGCGCAACCCUUAUUUUAGCUGCCAUCAUUAAGUUGGGCACUCUAGAGAGACUGCCGCUGAUAAAGCGGAGGAAGGUGGGGACGACGUCAAGUCAUCAUGGCCCUUACGGGCAGGGCUACACACGUGCUACAAUAGGCAUUACAGAGGGAGGCGAAGGUGCGAGCUAGAGCGAAACUCAGAAAGGUGUUUGU